GAUGAACGCUGGCGGCGUGCCUAAUACAUGCAAGUCGAGCGAACGGACGAGAAGCUUGCUUCUCUGAUGUUAGCGGCGGACGGGUGAGUAACACGUGGAUAGCCUACCUAUAAGACUGGGAUAACUUCGGGAAACCGGAGCUAAUACCGGAUGAUAUUUUGAACCGCAUGGUUCAAAAGUGAAAGACGGUCUUGCUGUCACUUAUAGAUGGAUCCGCGCUGCAUUAGCUAGUUGGUAAGGUAACGGCUUACCAAGGCAACGAUGCAUAGCCGACCUGAGAGGGUGAUCGGCCACCCUGGAACUGAGACACGGUCCAGACUCCUACGGGAGGCAGCAGUAGGGAAUCUUCCGCAAUGGGCGAAAGCCUGACGGAGCAACGCCGCGUGAGUGAUGAAGGUCUUCGGAUCGUAAAACUCUGUUAUUAGGGAAGAACAUAUGUGUAAGUAACUGUGCACAUCUUGACGGUACCUAAUCAGAAAGCCACGGCUAACUACGUG
rnacentral:rRNA from 1 species